UUCAACUCAAGUUUCUUCGAAAAAUAACUCUAGAAAAAGUACUUGUAUUGCCAAACAAUUCGCCGUACCACCACCUGUUUCACAAAGUUUCCACUUGCCAUUUGUUGAACAGUCACAAGUUCUUGCACAUCUACUGUUUGCAGCGCAGUGUAUUACCUACUAGUAAAAACACUGUUUUUGAAAGCUGUAAAACAACUUCGCUGCUUCUUUUUCUGUUUUCGUGUUCAGUUUUAUAGGAUAAACACGCAUGGGUUGAAAAAUGCUUUUCAACUCC
rnacentral:lncRNA from 1 species